rnacentral:lncRNA from 1 species
GCUCUUCCCCUUCCCGGACACACUGGUCUCCACCUCUACCACUCCAUGCAUGGACUCUCUGCCAGCACUGUGGGCCUGCACACAGGGAGGUCAGUGUCUGAGAUAGCAGAGCACUGGUCACUGCAAGCUCCUACAGCGAUGUGGACAGGGACAGGGAGGGACAGACGGGAAGUGCACCUCCAGUGAGUGCCCACUGUGUACCAGGCCUGGGGCCAGACUCUUGGAAGGCAAGUGUCCUUGAAUCUCACUGCCAGCUGCAAGGUAAGUGCAGCACCCACUUUAUCAAUUGGGAGCCUGAGGGUGGCUAUGGGAGGACCCUCCUACAUGCGAACAGACCAGGCGGCACAUGCUUGUGUCUUAGCCUCAGGAAUCUGUCUCCUCCCUUGGGGCUGCGGUGGGGUGGAUCUAACUCCCAAGCAGCUAGGGUUAAUAUCCAAGCUGAGGGACAUUCAGAGCGCCCAGGAGUGCCGCGUGGGUGGACAAAGGGCAUAUUUGGUGGUGUCAUUUGGCGCAUGUGUUUGCGAGGCAAAGUUCUUAUGGACAGAGGGCAGGGCUUGGUCAGGAGGAGGUGAACAGUAUGUCCUGCUUGGGCCUGGGGACACAGCCCUGGAGCACUGCCCUGCCUUCCCUCUCCAGGUCCGCCGCCAGGCUGUGGGUCCCUUGGUUGCUGUCUUGUCCUUGGAGAGGCCACACACACCUGGGAGGAGUCCCGGAGCUUGCAUCCGAGAUGACCGGAUCCAGAGAUGUCAGCAAAAUAACUGA